GUAAGCAACCUCCGGCUUAAGCCUGGAGGCUUCAGCUAAACCCUGUUUAGUUGAAGCCGAGCUUACCAGACUAUCAGUAGUUUACUACUGGGUUUACAUUAAGUGUUAAAGUUCUCACCUAAGGAUGCGUAGCCAGUUCGUAGCUCUGAAACCAAGCAAUUAAACAAGCGUAACGGUUUAAAGCUAGUGUUGUUUGGAAAGUACCGAAUGUAAACACAGUCAAGGCUCACAUUAC
rfam:Scytonema hofmannii PCC 7110 genomic scaffold Scaffold1, whole genome shotgun sequence.